AGUUUGAUCCUGGCUCAGAACGAACGCUGGCGGCAGGCUUAACACAUGCAAGUCGAACGCCCCGCAAGGGGAGUGGCAGACGGGUGAGUAACGCGUGGGAACGUGCCUUCUGGUUCGGAAUAACUCAGGGAAACUUGAGCUAAUACCGGAUACGCCCUUUUGGGGAAAGGUUUACUGCCGGAAGAUCGGCCCGCGUCUGAUUAGCUAGUUGGUGGGGUAACGGCCUACCAAGGCGACGAUCAGUAGCUGGUCUGAGAGGAUGAUCAGCCACACUGGGACUGAGACACGGCCCAGACUCCUACGGGAGGCAGCAGUGGGGAAUAUUGGACAAUGGGCGAAAGCCUGAUCCAGCAAUGCCGCGUGAGUGAUGAAGGCCUUAGGGUUGUAAAGCUCUUUUACCCGGGAUGAUAAUGACAGUACCGGGAGAAUAAGCUCCGGCUAACUCCGUGCCAGCAGCCGCGGUAA
rnacentral:rRNA from 1 species